AGAUGUACUACAUGGUUCAAAGCAGUAUGCAUUAAAGCAUAUUAUUGUUAAUGAUGAAGAAUCACUUGAUCUAGUACUGAAAGAAAUUUCAGUGAUGAAAUCGCUGAAGGGUCAUCCUAAUAUUGUCACACCAAAUGUGCAUACCUUCUUGGAUAAGGGUCGUACAAAGGAAGCACCCCUUGUUAUGGAAUAUUGUGGGUCAUCCUAAUAUUGUCACACUAAAUGCACAUACCUUCUUGGAUAUGGGUCGUACCAAGGAAUCUCUCCUUGUUAUGGAAUAUUGUGAGAAAUCCUUGGUCAGUGUCCUUGAGGACCAAGGAGCUGGCUUCUUUGAGGAGAAACAAGUCCUCUUAAUAUUCAGGGAUGUAUGC
rnacentral:lncRNA from 1 species